rnacentral:rRNA from 2 species
UGGAGGGGCGGGGUGCUAUACAUGCAAGUCGAGCGGACAGAUGGGAGCUUGCUCCCUGAUGUUAGCGGCGGACGGGUGAGUAACACGUGGGUAACCUGCCUGUAAGACUGGGAUAACUCCGGGAAACCGGGGCUAAUACCGGAUGGUUGUUUGAACCGCAUGGUUCAGACAUAAAAGGUGGCUUCGGCUAGCACUUACAGAUGGACCCGCGGCGCAUUAGCUAGUUGGUGAGGUAACGGCUCACCAAGGCGACGAUGCGUAGCCGACCUGAGAGGGUGAUCGGCCACACUGGGACUGAGACACGGCCCAGACUCCUACGGGAGGCAGCAGUAGGGAAUCUUCCGCGAUGGACG